GGGAGCUUGGUGCGAUCGGCCGGGGUAAGACGAAGGGGGCUGGAGUUGCGCGGAAUGACUGGGCGUAAGGGGGGCGUGGGGGGCUCAUACAGUCAGAUGGGAAAUUCCUGGACUUAACCUGGGGGCUGCAUUUGAUACGUGUGGGCUUGGGUGGGGAAGAGGGUCGUGGAAUUCCCAGUGUAGAGGUGAAAUUCGUAGAUAUUGGGAAGAACACCGGUGGCGAAGGCGGCGACCUGGUCCUUGACUGACGCUGAGGCGCGAAAGCGUGGGGAGCAAACAGGAUUAGAUACCCGUGUAGUC
rnacentral:rRNA from 1 species